rnacentral:rRNA from 1 species
GAAUUCACUAGUGAUUCAGGCCUAACACAUGCAAGUCGAACGGUAACGCGGGGGAAACCCUGGCGACGAGAGAAAAACGGGUGAGUAAUACAUCGGAACAUAUCCAGUAGCGGGGGAUAACCUAUCGAAAGAUUGGCUAAUACCGCAUACGAUCUACGGAUGAAAGCGGGGGACCGCAAGGCCUCGCACUAUUGGAGUGGCCGAUGUCAGAUUAGCUAGUUGGUGGGGUAAAAGCCUACCAAGGCGACGAUCUGUAGCUGGUCUGAGAGGAAAAUCAGCCACACUGGAUUUGAGGGAAGGUCCAGACUCCUACGGGAGGCAGCAGUGGGGAAUUUUGGACAAUGGGCGCAAGCCUGAUC